CUAACUCAAAUUUGUAUGGAGUUGCAACGUUUGCCUACUUUUGCCGCUAGGGGCGCUGUUCCAACUGCAUACAAAUUUGAGUUA
rnacentral:pre_miRNA from 1 species